rnacentral:rRNA from 1 species
AUUGAACGCUGGCGGCAUGCUUUACACAUGCAAGUCGAACGGUAACAGGUUAAGCUGACGAGUGGCGAACGGGUGAGUAAUGCAUCGGAACGUGCCCGAUCGUGGGGGAUAACGCAGCGAAAGCUGCGCUAAUACCGCAUACGAUCUGAGGAUGAAAGCGGGGGACCGUAAGGCCUCGCGCGAUCGGAGCGGCCGAUGUCAGAUUAGGUAGUUGGUGGGGUAAAGGCUCACCAAGCCAACGAUCUGUAGCUGGUCUGAGAGGACGACCAGCCACACUGGGACUGCGACACGGCCCAGACUCCUACGGGAGGCAGCAGUGGGGAAUUUUGGACAAUGGGCGAAAGCCUGAUCCAGCAAUGCCGCGUGCAGGAAGAAGGCCUUCGGGUUGUAAACUGCUUUUGUACGGAGCGAAAAGGUCCCCUCUAAUACAGGGGGCUCAUGACGGUACCGUAAGAAUAAGCACCGGCUAACUACGUGCCAGCCGCCGCAGUAAUAC